rnacentral:rRNA from 1 species
GAUGAACGCUGGCGGCGUGCCUAAUACAUGCAAGUCGAGCGAAUGGAUUAAGAGCUUGCUCUUAUGAAGUUAGCGGCGGACGGGUGAGUAACACGUGGGUAACCUGCCCAUAAGACUGGGAUAACUCCGGGAAACCGGGGCUAAUACCGGAUAACAUUUUGAACCGCAUGGUUCGAAAUUGAAAGGCGGCUUCGGCUGUCACUUAUGGAUGGACCCGCGUCGCAUUAGCUAGUUGGUGAGGUAACGGCUCACCAAGGCAACGAUGCGUAGCCGACCGGAGAGGGUGAUCGGCCAACCUGGGACUGGGACACGGCCCAGACUCCUACGGGAGGCAGCAGUAGGGAAUCUUCCGCAAUGGACGAAAGUCUGACGGAGCAACGCCGCGUGAGUGAUGAAGGCUUUCGGGUCGUAAAACUCUGUUGUUAGGGAAGAACAAGUGCUAGUUGAAUAAGCUGGCACCUUGACGGUACCUAACCAGAAAGCCACGGCUAACUACGUACCAGCCGCCGCGGUAA